AGGACGGGGCUUCGGAAAAAGGUGCCAACUGCGGAACGAACUCAGGAAACCGGCAGCAUGAAGCUUCACCUGGAAACACUGGAGAUGCUUCCGUGAACAGAACUACGGAGCCUCUGCAAAGCUUCCACCCACCAAUAAAAUGGUUCCAAAAAGACGAUGUGGUCAUAUUGAAGAUAAGAAUAAGGAAUGUAAAAGAUUACAAGUGCAAAUAUUUUAGAGAUAGAGUCAUUUUCAGCGCCUGGGUAGGAGAAAAAUUUUACUUGGCUGAUUUGGAGUUGCAGGCCAACAUAAUAAAGGACGAUUGCAAAUGCAUAAUUAAAAACGAGGAACCUAUAAUCACUCUUGCAAAAGAGAGAAGGGAAUCUUGGUGUAGCUUACUCAGG